UCCAGAGGAAAAUUUUCAAUUUUGGGGGGCAGUGUUUGGUCCAUAUCUCCUUAUUUCAGUUAAAGUCCAAUGGAGGUUCUUCUAGUUGAGUACCUUGGUGAGAAAGAGCAUCAGCUGCGUGAUACCCUGUCUUGACCGAGUAGUCUCUAGUCUUAUUAGGUAACCAAACAUAUCGAUCUCUGGCUCCAAAUUUGCUGGGUCUUAGAAGGAAGAUCUCCUUUUCAUAGCUGGGAAGUAACAAUCUUACUUUCUCUCUAUCCCAAGACUUUGUGGUUUGACAAAUAAGCUGAGCUACUGUCAUUGAUUUGAAUUGUUCAAGUGCAGGACCCAUUGGAGUUGAGGAGGUUGAAAGAGAUAGCCACGGUUCGUUCCAAACCAAAGUAUCCAAGCCCGAUCCAAUCACUUUCCCCAGCUGAGAUUUGAUUAGAUCUUUGCCCGUACAAAUGCCUCUCCAACCGUGAGAAGAAGCAGCAGUGACUGAGCAGUCUAGGAAGGACGAGGUUCGACAAUACUUUCCUAGCAGAAUUCUAACCAAAACACACGAUGGAGAUUGCACAAUACGCCAACUCAACUUUGCAAGCAAGGCAUCAUUAAAAUUUGUAAUAUCUUUGAAACCAAGUCCACCCUCCUUCUUGUUCUUUGCCAUUUUUGACCAGGCUAUCCAACACAUCUUCUUUUUAUCUGCAGAAGAGUCCCACCAAAAAUGAGUGAGGGCUGAUUGGAUUCUCUUACAAAGAGAGACAAGAAGUUUGAAGCAGGACAUGGUAUAGGUAGGCAUCGAUGCUAGUACAGACUUCAACAUUGUGGUUUUGCCCGCAGUGGAUAAGAACCGAGAAGACCAACUCAAAGAUCGCUGCCGUAUUCUAUCAACAAUCUGAUUGAAGAGAUCUCUCUUCUUUCUACCAAACAUCUUAGGUAAGCCCAGAUAUUUCCCUAGUCCUCCAACCAGCUGAAUUCCAAGUAUUUGUUGAGCUUCUGUUUUGAUAUGAUCAGGGGUUUUCCUUGAAAAAGUGAUUGCUGAUUUUGAUUUAUUGAUCAUUUGACCAGAUGCCUCUUCAUAUUUCUUGAGAAUGCACAAGAAAGUCUUACAACUUUUGAGAUCAGAGCGGCAGAAAAAUAUCGUAUCAUCUGCAAAAAGAAGAUGAUUAACUCUAGGAUUGCCUUUAGAGACCCGUAAUCCGAGAAGAGAUCCAUCGAGCUGAGCUUUCCUGCACAAACCAGAGAGAA
rnacentral:lncRNA from 1 species